GAUGAACGCUGGCGGCGUGCCUAAUACAUGCAAGUCGAGCGAACAGAUGAGGAGCUUGCUCCUCUGACGUUAGCGGCGGACGGGUGAGUAACACGUGGAUAACCUACCUAUAAGACUGGGAUAACUUCGGGAAACCGGAGCUAAUACCGGAUAAUAUAUUGAACCGCAUGGUUCAAUAGUGAAAGAUGGUUUUGCUGUCACUUAUAGAUGGAUCCGCGCCGCAUUAGCUAGUUGGUAAGGUAACGGCUUACCAAGGCAACGAUGCGUAGCCGACCUGAGAGGGUGAUCGGCCACACUGGAACUGAGACACGGUCCAGACUCCUACGGGAGGCAGCAGUAGGGAAUCUUCCGCAAAGGGCGAAAGCCUGACGGAGCAACGCCGCGUGAGUGAUGAAGGUCUUCGGAUCGUAAAACUCUGUUAUUAGGGAAGAACAAAUGUGUAAGUAACUAUGCACGUCUUGACGGUACCUAAUCAGAAAGCCACGGCUAACUACGUG
rnacentral:rRNA from 1 species